GAUGAACGCUGGCGGCGUGCCUAAUACAUGCAAGUCGAGCGGACAGAUGAGGAGCUCGCUCCUCUGACGUUAGCGGCGGACGGGUGAAUAACACGUGGAUAACCUACCUAUAAGACUGGGAUAACUUCGGGAAACCGGAGCUAAUACCGGAUAAUAUCUUGAACCGCAUGGGUGGAUAGUGAAAGACGGUUUUUGUGUCUCUACUCGCUGCAUACGCGCCGCAUUAGCUGGUCGGUAAGGUCACGGCUUACUAAGGGAAGGAUGCGUAAGCGAAGGGUCAGACGGAUCGGCCACACUAGAGCGGAGACACGGUCCAGGCUCCUAAGGGAGGCAGCAGUAGGGAAUCGUCCGCAAUGGGCGAAAGCAUGACGGAGCAACGGCGCGUGAGAGAUGAAGGUCUUGCGAUCGUAAAACUCGGUUUUGAGUGGUGAACCAAUGUGUAAGUAACUAUGCACUGCGUGACGGUACCUAAUCAGAAAGCAACGGCUAACUACGUG
rnacentral:rRNA from 1 species